AUUGAACGCUGGCGGCAGGCCUAACACAUGCAAGUCGAACGGUAACAGGAAGCAGCUUGCUGCUUUGCUGACGAGUGGCGUACGGAUGAGCAAUGUCUGGGAAACUGCCCGAUGGAUGGCGAUAACUACUGGAAACGGUAGCUAAUACCGCAUAACGUCGCAAGACCAAAGAGCGUGACCUUACAGCCUCUCGCCAUCGGAUAUGCCCAGAUGGGAUUAGCUAGUAGGUGGGGUAACGGCUCACCUAGGCGACGAUCCCUAGCUGGUCUGAGAGGAUGACCAGCCACACUGGAACUGAGACACGGUCCAGACUCCUACGGGAGGCAGCAGUGGGGAAUAUUGCACAAUGGGCGCAAGCCUGAUGCAGCCAUGCCGCGUGUAUGAAGAAGGCCUUCGGGUUGUAAAGUACUUUCAGCGGGGAGGAAGGGAGGAAAGUUAAUACCUUUCCUCAUUGACGUUACCCGCAGAAGAAGCACCGGCUAACUCCGUG
rnacentral:rRNA from 1 species